rnacentral:rRNA from 1 species
UACGGAGGGUGCGAGCGUUGUCCGGAAUCACUGGGCGUAAAGGGCGCGUAGGCGGCGCGGGAAGUCAUCGGUGAAAGCUCAGGGCUCAACUCUGAGUCGGCCGGUGAUACUCUCGUGCUUGAGCACUGUAGAGGCAGGUGGAAUUCCGGGUGUAGCGGUGGAAUGCGUAGAGAUCCGGAAGAACACCGGUGGCGAAGGCGGCCUGCUGGGCAGUAGCUGACGCUGAGACGCGAAAGCGUGGGGAGCGAACAGG